UCCGCCUUUGGCCUGAGUGAAGUCAGCUUGGUGCUGUCGCCCUGGUCAGAAGGGCUCAGCUGUCACCACGUGUAUCUCUGGUGAAGAACGGGGGUCUUGACAGAAGAUUAAGUUUACCAGCUUGGGGGGUGGAGGCGCUGGAAGAAUGAUUCAACCCCCACAGUGCCACUUCGGCACCUGCUACAGCUCCAGCAGGCCCGGGCCUCUUGUGGAAAAUGGGUGACCGUGGCUGUUUCCGGGAGAACAAGGGUUCAGGGUCCUGAGAGCCCAGCCACACUGGCCCGUGUCCUGGGCCCAUGGCCAGAGAAGCCAGCAGGUGUGGACGCCCUGCAGGCACUGACACUGUUUAUCAAAGCCCCUGGCUGAGCCUUCACACACCCCUUCUUCCAGGGCCUGGCCUCCCUGAGACACCACAGCCAUGCUCCUCUCUCUCCCGAAGCGCCAGGCGGAGGGCUCGGGCCACCUCCAAAGGGCCGCAGGAACCGGGACACCUUGGAGCGCAGCAGUUUGAUGAAGGACCGUGGGAACAUCUCCUUGGACUCCUGGGCUGUGUACUUGAAGUAGUUCUGGGGAUGUGCCAGCACGUCGAAGAGGGC